rnacentral:rRNA from 1 species
AUACGUAGGGUGCGAGCGUUGUCCGGAAUUACUGGGCGUAAAGAGCUCGUAGGUGGUUUGUCGCGUCGUCUGUGAAAUUCGGGGCUUAACUCCGGGCGUGCAGGCGAUACGGGCAUAACUUGAGUACUGUAGGGGAGACUGGAAUUCCUGGUGUAGCGGUGAAAUGCGCAGAUAUCAGGAGGAACACCGGUGGCGAAGGCGGGUCUCUGGGCAGUAACUGACGCUGAGGAGCGAAAGCAUGGGUAGCGAACAGGAUUAGAUACCCUGGUAGUCCAUGCCGUAAACGGUGGGCGCUAGGUGUAGGGGUCUUCCACGACUUCUGUGCCGUAGCUAACGCAUUAAGCGCCCCGCCUGGGGAGUACGGCCGCAAGGCUAAAACUCAAAGGAAUUGACGGGG